AUUCUUAAGAGCAUUCACUCAAAUUUCUCAUUCUCUUGCGUUUUUAUUUUCUGUGGCUUGUUCUUAUUUUGUUUUUCUUUCAUCUUCGUUUCUUUUUAAGUUGCUUUCAUUUGAGUUGGAUUUUGGUGGAGGAAUUUUGUUGAAUCUUCAUAUUGUGGGAGUAAGGUUGACUUAAGCGUUUUUUUAACAUUUUUUAUUUAUCCAUUUAAUUGUUUAAUCAUUAAUUAUUUUGUUACUUUUAUUCGUUUAUUUAUCCAUCAACUUUCUUAUUUACAUGUUGUUCAUUCAUUUAGCCAUUCUUAUCAUUCUUUUAUUUUUUUUCCAUUAAUUAUAUACUUCAUUUGUUUUUAAUAUUAUGUCACACAUGUUGUUUAUUUUUUAAAAACUCGUGUUAUAAAUCAUCCAUUUUAAAUUAUUUGAUUAUUUGCUUUAAAUUUUUUUCCAUAUAUUAUCAAUUGCAAUUUAUUUUUUUAUCCUAUCUAUUUUUCCCAUAUUUUGGCCCUUAGUUUGGUUUUAUUCUCAUUUUUUUCCUUUUAAUUCUGUUUUAAAUUCAAUUUAAUCCUCACUAGUUUGACUUAAUUUGCUUGUGUUUUAUUUAUUUAAGGGUUGAUUAUUAUGUUUUUUUUAAAAUUUUGAAUCUGAUAUUAUUUGAAUGUUUAUACUUAUUAUUAUUAAAUUAAUCAUUAAUAUUAUCUAAGUGUAUUGUAUAUUAUUAUUUUAGAUUUAUCAUGUUUUAUUAUUUGUAAUUUAUCAAUAUUAUUAUUUUAAAUUCAUUGUUAACAUUAUUUUAAAUUUAUCAUGUAUAUCUAUUUCAAAUUUAUCAUUAAUAUUUUUAAAUUUAUUAUAUACUAUUAUUUUGGAUUUAUCACGUAUGAUUAUUCUAGAAUUAUCAUCAAAAUUUUUAAAUUUUAUAUGUAUUAUUAUUUCAAAUUUAUUAUAUAUUAUUUAUUGUAAAUUAUCCAAUUCAUUUCAAAUUGUAGAUAUUAUUUGUAUUAAAUUGUACAUUCAUAUAUAUUAUUUGUUUUAACUCAUAUAUAUUGUUUAUUUUAAAAUUUUGAACGUAUAAUUUAUUGAUUAUAAUUUCUCCUUUUGCCAUUGAUUUCUUUAGUAUAUCUUUUAAAAUUGAUUAUUAAUUCAUUUAAUUUUAAAAUAUUGAUAUUGAUAUUUAUAUAAUGUAUGAUUGAAAUUAUUGUUGCCAUACAUGUUUAUAUUUGUUUAUUAAUUAUUUGUUAUUCAUUAGUGUAUGAUUCAUUUACAAAUUAUCCUUUUGCGUCGUAUGUUAUCAUUUAAUCGCAUUACAUUUUAUUCAAAAGUUUAUAAAACAAGACUCGAUAUUUAAGAUUUUUGAGAAGAUUAUGCCUUAACUUACUGGGCUUCAAUUUUGUCGUUAAAUUCAAAAUAGCCGAGUAUCCCUUUUUCAAUAAAAUCAAUUACCAUUGAAUAGUAAUAAAGUCAUUCAUCACAAAGGUGAAUGCCUAUGAGAGGGUAUCAUUUACCCAUGUCUCAGGUUAUGAAUUCCACUGUUGUGAAUGACGCUACAUAAUGUAGAAGUUGUACACCCAAUGCAUUAGCUUUUUGUAACAGCCCGUUUUCUAGUGGUGUCAGAGACAGUGGUUUCGGGACCACCGAAUCCGACGAGUAAGUUCGUAAAUAUUAUUAUUUAAUAUUUACGAGUCAUAUGCGACUUUGAAAAGGUUUUUGAUUUGAUAAUUUAUGUUAUUUAAGCGAUUUAUUAAGUUCGAGUGGUAAGACCUUAAAGUCAAGUGGUUUUAGAAAAUGAUGUAUCGGGACCUCAUUUUUAUAAACCGAGCCAUAAAUAUUUUUAUAAAUAUUUAUGGAGUGUUAUUAAGGUGGUAUUAAAGUUUCAUUAAGAAAUUUUAACAUUUCGAUAGUUAAUUAAGCAAAAAGGACUAAAUCGUAAAAUUUGAAAAAAGUCAAUCGCUAUUAGUUUAAAGGUAUAAAUCGGUUAAAGAGUUAUAGUUGGAUGGAAAUAGUGGGUAAUUUUAUCAUACCUAAGAUGGUGGGAAAAUUUUAAUCUUUAAAAUCUUUUAAUUUUAUAUGUUUUAUAAGUUAAUUUAUUAUUAAUAAAGUAAAAUGGUUAAUAAAGUAAUAAUAAUACAAAAGUGGCCAUCUUCAACCUUAAGUUUUAUUUGUUUAAAUAGAAAUCCAUGGCUAUGGAGAAGUGAGGUUCGACCAUGUUUCAUUUUGUGCAUGUAAGUCCAUUUUGCACCCGUUUUUAAUGAUUUUUAUGUUUUUUGAGAUCGUUGCAACGAGGUCCAGCUAGCCCGCACCUUCGAUUUUGAAACUAUUAAAGAUUUUGAAUGUUUCCAUUGAUGAAUAAAGUGAUUUUUUAUGUUAAAUGAUGAAUUUGAAAUAUUAGUUGUUAUUUUAAAGUAUUUUAUUAAGUGAUUUUUGAUGAAUUUUUCGAUUAGGGACUAAAUUAUUUAAAUAAUAAAAAUACAAGGAUUUUUUGUGAAAUUUUUGCAAAAUGGGAUUUAUUGGAUGCCAUAAGUAUUCGGCUCGGAUCAAUUUUGGGGAAAAAAAGGUUAAAUUGCAUGUUUUAGGCUUAAAGAAUAAAUUGAAUAAAAGUAAAAAAUUUUAGGCAAUUUUGUAAAAAUUUCAAAAAUUACUAAAUUGCAUAAAGUACCUUUUUUAAUGUCUAAAUUAAUAGAUUGAAUGAAAUUAUUAAUUUAGAUCAAGAUCGGGUGGAAAAAUUGAUGAGAAUAAAAAAUUACCAAAAUGCCCCUGUACUUUGACAUUUCUACAAUGUAGCUAGGUAAGUUCAUAUGAACUGUACUAGGUAUAAUGUUGAUUAAAUUAAAUUUUAUUAUAUGAUUUUACUAAAAAUGAAUCAAUAUAUAUAUAUGUGUUAAUUAUACAAUUUAUCGAGUAAAGAAACGAUGAAAAUUCGGAUACAAAUGACAUGUCAUUAGGGUUACCAUGUUUCAGGUGCUAGUCCUGGACGUCCUACCGGUGGCUGAGUUUCGACAUGUGUUGCGGAUACUUGACAACUUGUGUGAGCAACACCUUGUAGCUACGUUCUGACUAACAGCUUGUAUGAGCAGACCCAUUUAUGGCUCGAGAGAAAGCAUCUAUGUAAAGGAAAAGGAAAGAAAUGGUUUCGACCAUAUGUUAGCACACUGUGUGAGAUUCCUGCGUAUUCGAUAUUAUUCUAAGUGGUUCAAUGGGCAUCAAAAGGGAAGGAACAGUAAGUGUUCCGAUUGGCAAUGUCAUGAAAGUAUGGAAAGG
rnacentral:lncRNA from 1 species